rnacentral:rRNA from 1 species
AUUGAACGCUGGCGGCAUGCUUUACACAUGCAAGUCGAACGGCAGCGCGGGCUUCGGCCUGGCGGCGAGUGGCGAACGGGUGAGUAAUGCAUCGGAACGUGCCCAGUAGUGGGGGAUAGCCCGGCGAAAGCCGGAUUAAUACCGCAUACGACCUGAGGGUGAAAGCGGGGGACCGAAAGGCCUCGCGCUAUUGGAGCGGCCGAUGUCGGAUUAGCUAGUUGGUGGGGUAAAGGCUUACCAAGGCGACGAUCCGUAGCUGGUCUGAGAGGACGACCAGCCACACUGGGACUGAGACACGGCCCAGACUCCUACGGGAGGCAGCAGUGGGGAAUUUUGGACAAUGGGGGCAACCCUGAUCCAGCCAUGCCGCGUGCGGGAAGAAGGCCUUCGGGUUGUAAAGCUCUUUUACCCGGGAUGAUAAUGACAGUACCGGGAGAAUAAGCUCCGGCUAACUCCGUG